GGCCUGUGCAGCUGGACAGGGGCCAGGGCGGCUGGUGAGUGACCCCUGCCUGAGUUCAUAGCCCACGCAAAGCCACUACACCUCGACGCCCAUGAGCUUUGUGGUGGUGGUGGGGGGUGUCUCUAUGGAGGACAAAGUGGCCACAGCAGGUGCCAAUGGGAACGGUCCUUUCUGGACACGGGGCAGGAAUGGGGGGUGGUAGAAGGGACAGGACUCCCCUGCUCGCACCAGACCUUCCUUCCCAGUCCUCAGCCCCCAGCCCCUACCAGGAAGCUGGCUGCGCAGCCCCGAACCAGCAUUGCUGCAGAAAUCCUACCGGAAAGCGCGGCUCUAGAUCUUGUCACUCAAGUGUGGUCCGUGCAUGGGCAGCGGCCCCUGAGAGCUGACUGUGCGUGCAGAGCCUCCGUCCCACCCUGGGCACCUGAGUCAGAAUCCGACUGUAAGGAGACUCCCAGGGAUGCAUGUGCACACUGAGGCUCAGGAGGCGCUGAUGGGGACCAUGCGCCCGCAUCUGUCUUCCGGCCUGUCACUGAGGCAGGCCUGGGAGCUCACCCUGAGGGUCAAACACGCCCAGCAACUCUCCCCUCCCCUGCUCCCCUGCUAACUCCAGAUCCUUCUUCCUAACUUCUCAGCCUCCAGCACCAUCAGCAACCUGACUGUGCAGAAUCAGACUAGCAGCUCCAUCACCCUGAGCUGGAAGGUGCCUGAAGGCUCUGAGCCUGAGACCUACUGUGUCCAGUGGACUGGUGACGGUAAUGCAACUGUGUCUCAAAACACAACAAAUACCACCAUCACAGUGAAAGGACUUGAAGCCGGGACGUUGUACGAAUUCUCUGUGUACGCAGUAAAGGAUGGACUCAAUAGCUCGGUGCAUGUCAAUGCCUGCACAGCUCCCAGCGAGGUUACGGCCCUGCAGAAGCAAAAUCAGACUGACAGCUCCAUCACCCUGCAGUGGGAAGCCCCUGCAGACCCACAGCCCCAGUUCUAUGUAUACUGGGUCCAUUGGGCCAGCAGAGGACAUCCCCAGAGGAAGCGAGGUCCCCAAGGACACCAGGACAACCAGACGGGCAGCACCAACAGGACUCACUAUACGGUGGAGGCGCUGGUGCCCGGG
rnacentral:lncRNA from 1 species